rnacentral:lncRNA from 1 species
AGUCUCCUCUGUUUGUUCUGUUCAGUCGUUUCCCAGUGAGAAGGGAUAUGAAAUUUUGCAGGGGUGAGGGAGAUCGUUUCUGUCCCUUCAUUUCCUGGAGCCAAUCCGAAUGAAGACUCAGAGAGAAGGGGAGAACGAGGGGUGGCCAAGACCAGAAAUGGGAACAAGAAAGUGAGGAGAUGGGAAGGAGGAGCACCAAAAGCAUCCUGGGCUGAAAAGGAGAAGAAGCUGGAGAUGUGUCAUUUUCACUGUUACGAUUGUCUAUUGUAUUUUAUAUCUGAGCACUUUUAUGGAGGAAGUAUACACACUUUUUCUAUAAUGGCUUAUAGAAAAUUUAUCUUUAGUUAAAUGUACCUGUUCCUCAUUGGAUUUUUUUGUCCAUUUAUUCCUUAGCAGAUCUGCAGGCAAAAGAAACAAAACGAAACUCUAUAAAUGUAAUAGUGAAUUCCAAUUGUUUUUCAAGUUUAUUCAGUUAUUAAUAGCCAUGGAAUAGCUAUAUGUUUGUAUCCAUCUUUUUAUUAAAUACAUAUUCUUUAAUGCCAUAAUCACUAAUCUUCCUAAUUUACUAUUUUUUUAAACUUUCUAUACUCUUUAUUCGCAUUUUUUUGUGGGGGGUGAACUUUGCUUCUGAAAAGAGUGUACCUCAAUCUAGCAGAAGUUAGCCAUUGGUCAAUGCCCAUGGAUCAGCCAUGGAAUGAUUUGUCCUUAUGACAAGAUCUUAGCCUUUCACAGUCAUGUCCAUCUAACAAAGGGCAUAGAAUCUCAUCAAGUUUUUCUCUCAUGCUCUAUGGACCGUCCUCAACAACUUGCUUGGAACAUGCCAGUCCCAGCCUAGUGAUGGCUAGCCAGCAGAUUAUGGCGAGUACAACUAACCCCUAUAAAACAAUCUAUUUAGGAGCUCCAGUCAUGACUCAGCAGAAACAGAUCUGACCAGCAUCCAUUAGGACACAGGUUCGAUCCCUGACCUUGCUCAGUGGGUUAAGGAUCUGGUGUUGGCCUGAGCUGUGGUGUAGGUCGAAGAUGGGGCUUGGAUCCUGCGUUGCUAUGGCCAUGGCGUAGGUUAUCAGCUACAGCUCUGAUUCAACCCCUAGCCUGGGAACCUCCAUAAGCUGCAGGUGGGGCCCUAAAAAGAUAAAUAAAUAAAUAAUCCUGUUUAAAUUUCUUUGCUGGUGCUUCACAGGGGCUGGAUGUCCAGGGCCUGUGCUCCACGGCCCUCCUAGGACUGAAAGUAACAGAUACAGGUGCUCUGCAAGGAAAAGACAAGAAAUGUACUUGAUUCCCCAGACUCCUUGGAGAAGACAGGUGGUAUGGCAGGGAUUUACAGCAUGGUCAAAUCUGCUUUUUUGCCUCUCUCUCAAAGAGGGCCUGUGUCAGGCAUGCUCCAGACACACUCCUCUUCUUCUCCAGCCCUGUUCUCUAUGCCUGGAGGCUGGACCCCAUGGGCUGAAUCAAUUGGCUCUGCAUAGACAAAUAGCUGAGCUCAGCCAAUGGGGAAAGGUAGCAAGAGAAGGAGAGAGAAAAGUGAGGUUAGGGCACCCAUUCCCCAGCUCCACAUCUAAGAAGUUGCCUCAGGCUGAUGGUGUCUCUGGACAGACGGUCACUUCUCUGGACUCAUUUCGAGUGCAUGUAACUACUCUGCCUUUUAGUAAUUUUUUCCAUGCAUGAUUCCUCAGGACUAGAUGUAAGAACAGCCCAAGAUUGGUCAUCUCAGGCUCCUCAAUGUGGGUUUCCUCCUCCCUGUGGUUUCCUGAAAUUCUGUACAUACCUUGUGAAUGAUCCUGUUGAAAAUAGAACCUCCUUGAAUGAGGCUGUUUCCUGUUGAAAUCCUGCUUGAUAUUUAGUCAAUAAUUAACAGUUAAUUUUUAUUCAAUAUUUACUAUUCUAAAAGAUUUCUGGGUUUUGAAUCAUUAAAACCUUCCAAUAGAACAUGUCAGGAGAUACUGGUAUCCCCACUUUACAGCUGAAAAGAGAUUGAACCACACGCCCGGGGACCACAACAAGAAAGCGAUGGGAUGUGAUUUGCACCAAAGCAUUUUGUCUCCAGAGCUUGGGCUCUGCAUAAACGUCCCAUAAGUGAGGGCAUCUAGAAAUGCAUGAUGGUUGCAGUAUUACUGGUCCUUCAAAAACACUGAGUAUGAUAAUUUACAUUUUUAGCUAAUUUAAUCUGUAAAGAGUUACCUCGUUUUAAUUUGCAUUUUGUUGAUUAAUGAUGAAUAUUUAGUUCCGUAUGUUAUCCCUAGCUAUUUGUCCUCAAAAGAGAUGGUCUUUUGGUGUUAUCUGCUGAGAUUUGGGGGUAAUUUUUCUAUUUUAUAGAGUUCUUUAUGUAUUAAAGUGUUCUUAGUCAUAUGCACUUUAAUUUGUAUAUUUUUUCUUUGUAAUUUAAUUUUAAUUUAGAA